UACUGCAAGAGGAAGUGCUUUGAAGAACAGAAAGGCACGAUUGGACCUAAAACUCUAAGACGAGCUGGAAGACACGGAAAGCACGUAGGAGAGACACCGGUUUCAUUGCAGUUGGUUUCAAUAUCAAACGACUGUGAUCCCCAGACCACAGCACUGGCAUUUCCUGGGAUCUUGUUAGAAAUGCCAAUUCUUGCAUGGAAGGCUUUGCACAAGCCUCACCUUUGCUUGUUACACAAUGAUAUCCUACCACUGGCGGGAAGACUAAAAACCAGCAAUGAUGUGUGUGGUUCAACAGCUCCUAAAGCUGUUUACUUGAAGUAACAAUACUUUCCACUGUGCAUUGUAUUGACUUGUGGUAAGCCCAGUCAUCUUUCUCUGGACGGAGAUUAGAAGUCUGCUGCCAGGCAUCUGGGGUGCCAGACCUGGGCUCCCUCUAGUUUCUUCAAUUGCAAUGGUCAUAUUUAUUUUCCUUGGAUGCUGAAAAUGUUUAAGAGACUCACCUGCCUCUUACACCAAAUUGUAACUCAACUUAUCUGAAUAAUUGGUGACUUCACAUUUGUCAUUAAAUGCUUUCUUAACUUCUCUUACCCUUCUCAUUUAUCCCUAUUUGUUAAGAUCAUCUUGCAGCACUAACACUUAGGAGUCCCAUUAGUUCUUUUCCUUCAUGCCCUGUGCUUUAGGACCAAUCCAGCCAAUCACAGAUCCCACCUCCUGUUAUUUUAAUUUGCAAUUUAAAAAAUUCUGAGUAAAACUGAGAAUCUAAAUAUAUUUAUUGGCCAUUUGUAUCUACUUCUUUGUAAAUUGCUAGUUUUCUUUUUUAUUGAUUUGUUUGAGCUUUUAUUAGUUAAAAUAAUAGAACUUUGUGAAAAGAUGAAUUAUUUUUUCCCUGGAUUGACUCUCCUUAGACUUCUAAACAUUACAGUGUGUACUUGUUAUCCAGAAUAUUUUUAGUCACAUAUAUCUAACAUUUUCUAGUAUGUGAAUUUUGUGUUUAUUAGGAAGAUCUACUCACAGCUCUCACUGUCUUUUUAUGCCUACGGUGUUCACUUCACUUCAAGCCCAUGCCACUGUAUGCCUAUAUAACUACUCAUUUCUGGAAUGGCCCUGCAAACUCGUAUCUCUUCUCCUCUUUGCGCAUGGUUGCCAGUCCAAACUGCCUUAAGACAAACAAACAAACAAACAAAAAUCCAACUAAUGAUUUAAUGCAUUCAGGUUUCAAAGCAUGUUCUUCCAUUAUUUUUAUAAUGCAGCUUUUCCUACCUGAAUGUAUACUCAAGAGAUUCAGAAUGUCCCAAGUGGAGGAGGUUUCUUUGGGAAGCCAAAGGUAGUGUAUGGACUGUAACUGGGGGCCUGUGAUUGAAUUGCCUCUUUCAGUUCCACCAUAUGGCCACCACCAUCUCAUAAUUUCCCUUCUCAGAAAAGGUACAGCUUCAUUAGGAUGGCAAUAUAUACAUAAGGUGUCAUUAAAGAGCCUAUACAAGUCACAGCUAAAAAUAUGUAUGAGAAAAAAUAAAGUUCAAAAUGAUUGCCCAACAAGCAUGAACUGUUCAAAUAAGUUAUAUUGCAUCACUGAAUCAUAUGUGUUAUGCUUUCAAAGAUAAUGUAUUGCCAUAAAGAAAUGCUCAUGACACAAUGUCUCAAAAAUGAUAUAAUUGUAGUAGUCAUAUUAGUUCUGAGCCUUCAUUGAAUGCUAUUUACCUAAUUUCCUUUUUUAAAUGUUCACUGCAAAAGCAAGAUAUAAAACUGUUCAAACUGGGAAUUUUUUGACUUGUCUGCAUUUUUUCUAAGUUUAGUAAAUGAGCCCUAUAUUAGUUUAUUAGUCAGAAAAUAUUAUUUCAAGAAGCUAAAUAUUAAUUCAAGUCCAAACACAAUGAGGCAUUUCAUUUAUAUCUUGUCAUAGAAAUCUCUUAAGUGCCCUUAAAGGAUCAUUAAACACACCUUUUAUUAUUGUUUGUACACUUCACUGGAAUAUACAUACCCCUUACUGAAAUGUAAGUUUCUUGGGGGAAGAGCCAUGUUUAUGUUUUAAUACGCUGCUCGACACAAUAGGCCUUCACAGAACAUCCAUCGACACAAAUUAUCUCUGUUCAUCCGGAUAGGAAAAGCCUGUUUUCCAAAUUUUCUACAAUCACAUAGGGAGCAAGAAAAAAACAUUUUAAAAGUAAUUUUGCUUGUUUCUAGUGAAAAAUAUCAAGAGGAAAACAGUCAAAUAAGCAAAAUGUGCCCAGAAACUGAGUCCUCUUAUUAACAAUGUGGAUAUUAAUUUAUAGUAUAAAAUAAUACAUAUGCAUAACUUAAAAACUCAGAAUAUCCAAAGUAAAAAGUAACAUCCUUUUUUUAUAACAACCCCCACCAAACUCUAAAUGCAACUAGCAUACAUAAUUUCUUAUGAUUUAUUCCAGAGGCCCU
rnacentral:lncRNA from 10 species